rnacentral:rRNA from 1 species
GACGUCAAGUCAUCAUGCCCUUAUGUCCAGGGCUUCACACAUGCUACAAUGGCCAGUACAGAGGGCUGCGAGACCGUGAGGUGGAGCGAAUCCCUUAAAGCUGGUCUCAGUUCGGAUCGGGGUCUGCAACUCGACCCCGUGAAGUCGGAGUCGCUAGUAAUCGCAGAUCAGCAACGCUGCGGUGAAUACGUUCCCGGGCCUU